rnacentral:rRNA from 1 species
UACAUGUGGGGCAAGCGUUGUUCGGAAUCACUGGGCGUAAAGGGCGCGUAGGCGGCGCUGUAAGUCACUUGUGAAAUCUCUGAGCUUAACUCAGAACGGCCAAGUGAUACUGCAGUGCUAGAGUGUGGAAGGGGCAAUUGGAAUUCUUGGUGUAGCGGUGAAAUGCGUAGAUAUCAAGAGGAACACCUGAGGUGAAGACGGGUUGCUGGGCCAACACUGACGCUGAGGCGCGAAAGCCAGGGGAGCAAACGGG